rnacentral:rRNA from 1 species
GGUCAAGCGAAUAAGAGCGAAUGGUGGAUACCAGCCCCCCNAGAGAGAAUA